ensembl:lncRNA
GGGACACCAGAACCUCGGCUUCCAGGGUUGUCACUGAGCCGGUGCUAUGCCAGGGCGGCCCAUAUGGUCGAGCGGUUGUCGCCAGAGACACAGAGCAUAAAUAAACCCUGGGAGUACAGAUGGGAGGCCGGCUAGGCUGGCUCCACUUCCUGGUCUCAUCACAGGGGAGUCCGUGUGGAAGCCCUGGGAGGCACCUCAGCCAUUUUCCAGGCCAACGACUGCAUUUGUCAGACGAGAAAAGCCAGAGGUUAAGGGACUUGCCAAAAGUCACACAGUGAGUCAACUGAAAAGCAGUAAGAGGUGGUGGCUAAGAGCACAGCAUGACUCCAUUGCCCUUGGCUUUGGCAAGUGACUGAAGUUCUCAGUUUCCUCAUACCAUGAGUGUGAGGUUAGUACCUGCCACAUUAGGUGCGUGGGACCCAAUCAAACGUAAAUGUGUGAGGCGCCCACUGCCAGGUUCAUAAUCACUGCUCCGUGGCUGCUGAUGGUUCUGAUGCUUAUCAUGACCGCUAGGAGCUGGAGAUAGAUCUUGAGAUCUCUUCUGCCCGGGUCAUGGGUAAACAUGAUGGAUAAAAUUAUGUGAACCAGAGUUUGAAUUUUGGCUUCUAGUUUUGUGACUCCCCCUUUCUGAGCUCUCGUUCUCAUCUGUAAAGCGGAGCAGCGACACCACUGUUCACAGGCUUGCUGCGAGGAUGGGAGGCAGCAGCGAGGGGACGGAGCCCUCCCAGCAGUAAACCGCAACUGUGACCCCCUAAUUCAAAGCUCCUCCCCUCGGCGGCAGCGAGGACAACGGCUUUCAGUUUGAAGAAUGGUAACUCAGAACCAUUAUCAUCCCCAUCUCAUGGAUUAGAAACGGAGGCUGGGAUGAGUUAUCAAGAUGCUCCUAGUCAUACAGGCAAGAACCUGGCGGGGCCAGCCAGGAUUUGAAACCAGGGCAUCUGGCUCCUAAGGCUGAAUAUUGGUGACUGGCUGCUUAAAUGCUCUGCCUCCAUUUAUGAGAGGAAAACAUCUGUGUCCUCGUCUUCAAAUUGUUUUGUCUCUAAAAUAUCCUUCCAGCAAGGAGGAAAACCAGUGUUGAAGAAAAUACCACUGAACACACAGCACUCCCCAAAGCUCAGAGACAAAGGAAGUCCAGGAAAGGAAGGGAAGGAGGAAACAUGGAUUUAGUUCCACCGUGAAAAUAUUCCACACUUCAACCUCUUGCACAAUUUAACAGAUACCUUCUGAGAGGCUGCAUGUGACCAGCUCAGAGCUGAGCGAACACACAAGAACAGACAAGAUGGAUAAAUACCAAGCCAUCGAUCCCCUCUGCUGUUUCCGUCAGUGUCUAGAGCCCUAGAGGAUCACAUGGUGUGGAGGAAAUGUCAGGGGCUCCUCAGACGGACCUGGGUUCAAAUUUGCACUCUGCCACUUACAAGUGGAGCAAGUGCCCCUUGGUACUGGGCCUAAGGCUUCUGAGCUCCCUUCUCGUUCUGUCCCCAGGGGGUUGUGAAUCAGCACUCAGCACAAUCAUAUUAUUUCUACUCAAAAACGAGAGUUUUUCAUCUUAAGAAUUUCUAUGGUGACCCUGUGAAAAGUCGGUGCAGCCAAAAUUGAAAGAACUCCUCAGGUUUGAUGAGUGAGGUUGUUAGGCAUAGAAGUUCUCCUGGUACCGCACAGCAUACAUAAUGGAUAAUACACAGACAUUACAAGACAAUGGCAUACCCACAGUAUUUCAUUAAAUAAAACUGUAUGGCAUAACACUUUAUGCCAGGAAUUGUUAUUCCCAUUGUGCAGAGGAGGAAACCAAAUUGCAGAGAGGGGAAGAGGUCUGGGGGAGGUCACACAGCUGGUUCACAAUGAAGCAGGGUCUCCAUCCCAGAACCUGCAGGAGGGAUGAAUUUGCCAAACGGUGCUGAAGCGAGAAGACCCAGCCCUACCCAGCGUCGCUGUGCCUCUCCUCCUCGGGCCGCCAGGACUCCCCCCACGGUGCUGGUUCCUGGGACUCCCCGAGGUGGGGAGCCAAGGCUGCUGCUGGCCCCCUGAACUGCACGCCUGUCUAAGCUGCCAUGUUGCCCCCGCGUCGAGUUUUGGCAUCUCAUCGUGGAGCAGCAGCCAUUGUGCCCUCACUGUGCCCAUGUCUCCUGCAUCUACACUACUGAGAGGAAACAAAAGAACAAGCAAACAAAAACAGGUGUCAAAUCCCUGGCUUUGCAUCCUGGCUCCCCUGUUUGCUGGCUGUGUGGCUUUGGAUGAAAAUUCCCCAAGCCUUGGUUUCCUCAUCUCUGAAACAGAGCUUCCAGUCCCCGUCUUUUGGGGCUAGAGUGAGAUUUAAGUGAC